AGUCCAUGAUAUGCACACAGUCUCAUCAUAUACUUUUACCUUUCCCGUGCUUCAAAAAGUGAUUCUCCAUAUUUCUGUUUGAAUCCGUUGAUUUGACUUCUUAGCAU